rnacentral:tRNA from 1 species
GCCUGGCUGGCUCAGUUGGUAAAGCACGUGACUCUUGAUCACAGGGUCAUGAGUUCAAGCCCCACACUGGGCA